GGCAAAGAGGAAACAUUUUCACAGCAGAAGCAUUGAGCCAAAGUUGGGAGACGGAUCACGUAGCAGCCGAAGCUGAAGUCUUUUGUUUACCGUGGAGGCGAACGCGAUCAAAAAUGGAUUUGAGACAGCACAUCAUCUGCAUGAUCAUCAUCUAGAGUGACUUUGGAAACACAUCCAUAUAGACUACAGUGGCUGCAGACCAGAAGAUCGACUUGUGGACACAGUAAACCAUGCACACAGGACUGCAGAUGUUAUCAAGUACUCUGAGCACUCUGUAAGCAAGCAGAGCCUAUAACAAGACCCCCUGGCAGUGUGGGGCAUGCCAGGAGCCCCACUGCAUCUUCUUAGAUGCCUUGCUUUGGUUAGGGGGAUGCAUGAGAAAAACGCCUUGGACAUUUUCACAAAAGGCUGCAUUAUUUCAUUGUUCCGGGCACAUUUUAUUGAAAACCUGCAUAUGGAUAUGACACAAAGGGUUGAAUAAACAUGUUUUGAGUUCCAAAACUGUUCACUAUUGAUGUAUAAGGUGUGAUUUUUAUUAAUAAAUCACAAAAAUAAA